UACGAAGGGGGCUAGCGUUGCUCGGAAUUACUGGGCGUAAAGCGCACGUAGGCGGCUUUUUAAGUCAGGGGUGAAAUCCUGGAGCUCAACUCCGAACUGCCUUUGAUACUGACAAGUAGCUAGUCCGGGAAGAGGUGAGUGGAAUUCGCAGUGUAGAGGUGAAAUUCGUAGAUAUUCGGAAGAACACCAGUGGCGAAGGCGGCUCACUGGCCGGUACUGACGCUGAGGUGCGAAAGCG
rnacentral:rRNA from 1 species